rnacentral:sRNA from 1 species
GGAUAAAACCCAGGAGGUAGAAUUGCUGGGUUGUUAGAAGAGAAAGGAUGAUUGGCAAAUUAAAGCUUCAGUAGAGGGUACAUGCCGAGCACAAAUGGGAUCAGCCCUAGAUACCAGAAAUGGCACUUUCUCAUUUCCCCUUGGGACAAAAGGGAGAGAGGAAAUAACUGGUGCUGCCAGAGUUAAAUUUGUACGUGGAGUAGCAGGAAAUCAUUUGCUGAAAAUGAAAACAGAGAUGAUGGUGUAGAGGUCCUGAAGAGAGCAAAGAAAAUUUGAAAUUGCGGCUAUCAGCUAUGGAAGAGAGUGCUGAACUGGAAAACAAAAGAAGUAUUGACAAUUGAUAUGCUUGUAAUGGCACCGAUUUGAACGCUUGUGCCAUUGUUCACCAGCAGCCCUCAGCAGCCAAGUUUGGAGUUUUGUAGCAGAAAGACAAAUAAGUUAGGGAUUUAAUAUCCUGGCAAAAUGGUAGACAAAAUGAACUCUGAGAUCCAGCUGCACAGGGAAGGAAGGGAAGACAGCAAGAGGUUAGAUAGGAAAUACAAGAGUCAGGAGACUGGAAGAUGUUGUGAAAUUUAAGAACACAUAGAGUUGGAGUAAAAGUGUAAGAAAACUAGAAGGGUAAGAGACCGGUCAGAAAGUAGGCUAUUUGAAGUUAACACUUCAGAGGCAGAGUAGCUCUGAAUGGUAACAAGAAAUUGAGUGUGCCUUUGAGAGUAGGUUAAAAAACAAUAGGCAACUUUAUUGUAGCUACUUCUGGAACAGAAGAUUGUCAUUAAUAGUUUUAGAAAACUAAAAUAUACAGCAUACUUAUUUGUCAAUUAACAAAGAAACUAUGUAUUUUUAAAUGAGAUUUAAUGUUUAUUGUAGAAAACCUGGAAUCAGAUUACUUUGGCAAGCUCGAAUCUAAAUUAUCAGUCAUAAGAAAUUUGAAUGACCAAGUUCUCUUCAUUGACCAAGGAAAUCGGCCUCUAUUUGAAGAUAUGACUGAUUCUGACUGUAGAGAUAAUGCACCCCGGACCAUAUUUAUUAUAAGUAUGUAUAAAGAUAGCCAGCCUAGAGGUAUGGCUGUAACUAUCUCUGUGAAGUGUGAGAAAAUUUCAACUCUCUCCUGUGAGAACAAAAUUAUUUCCUUUAAGGAAAUGAAUCCUCCUGAUAACAUCAAGGAUACAAAAAGUGACAUCAUAUUCUUUCAGAGAAGUGUCCCAGGACAUGAUAAUAAGAUGCAAUUUGAAUCUUCAUCAUAUGAAGGAUACUUUCUAGCUUGUGAAAAAGAGAGAGACCUUUUUAAACUCAUUUUGAAAAAAGAGGAUGAAUUGGGGGAUAGAUCUAUAAUGUUCACUGUUCAAAAUGAAGACUAGCUAUUAAAAUUUCAUGCCGGGCGCGGUGGCUCACGCCUGUAAUCCCAGCCCUUUGGGAGGCUGAGGUGGGCGGAUCACCAGAGGUCAGGUGUUCAAGACCAGCCUGACCAACAUGGUGAAACCUCAUCUCUACUAAAAAUACAAAAAAUUAGCUGGGUGUGGUGACCCAUGCCCUCAAUCCCAGCUACUCAAGAGGCUGAGGCAGGAGAAUCACUUGAACUCUGGAGGUGGAGGUUGUGGUGAGCCGAGAUUUCACCAUUGCGCUCCAGCCUGGGCAACAACAGCAAAACUCCAUCCCAAAAAAUAAAAUAAAUAAAUAAACAAAUAAAAAAUUCAUAA